CCACGACCUAGUUUGGCGAUGUUCGUAGAAAGAAAUUGGUAAAUUGGACCUACAUGUAUCUUAUUACUUAAAGACACUACCCCAGCAACUCCAGUUUUUCCAGAGACUCUUCAAGCCCUGCAGGAUUUUGCCUUAUGAUGGGGCCUUUGUACCACCUACAUACAUGUACUCAGAGAGUGUGAUGUCAGCAGAUGAUGUUCCUCAAGUUGAUGCAGUUUCACAUGUUAAGGCCACAAAGACUCUCAGUGACAAAGAUACCAUUCUGAACAUAGAGAGGGAGAAACUGAAUGUGCUUUAAGAGCUUCUUGAGGUCGAAAAAAAGAGACUACAUGUUGAAGGACAGAAAUUGGCCUACAUCAUUUCUCUGGAAGCUGGCCACUUUGGCCAACUGAAUGUGCCACCAGUUAUUCAGUUUCUUUAAGCUUUGAUUAAUUUUCCCAAAUAUAAAAAUUUAUACUGAUAAUGUAGCUUCUGUUGUCACAUAUCAUCGGUUACAAAAAGUCGUUUAUCUUAAUCAUACAAUCAUUUAGAGAAACAGUUAUUGACGACAGCUUGUCUGACUUUGUGGCCGUCAUUGAGAGGUAAGGUCCCAAGUAAGCUAUCCCAUCUUCUUGGAUCAGGUCUUCUUGUGUAGGAGGAGCGGGUAACCUGUCAGCUGGAUAACUUCUGCAUCAGUCUCACUGAUGCAGAAGUUAUGCAGCUGACAGGUUGCAUACACAACUUGAUGGCAUUUUUGUGGGGUGAACGGCAGGCAGCCACCUGAUUUAUGUAUGCACCUAAUAAUGUAUAUAAACACAAACAUUACCCUUUGUUCAGAAUGCAGAUAAGAUAGACUAGUUGCAUUAUUAUGUGUAAAACUUGAAAUAUUCUAAAAAGACCAUGUCUCUGAUUUACUUUAAAGUAUGAGUAUUAUCUUAAAGCAUAACAUCUUAAUCUGUCAUUAGCACAAAUAUAUGCCUUACUAAUGUCUCAAAUAUUGAAAAAUGUUAUAUAUCCUUGAGUAGAAUAAGGGACAUAUACAUGCCUGAACCUGGAUUUAAGGAGUCCAAAAGCCCUCUCCACAGUGUUGCCUGUUCUGCAGUGUAAGUGUUGUCUGUUCCUCAGACGGUGUUGUAGGGCGUCAUGCAUAUCUGAUGGAAAAAGUGUACUUCUGUUAAACAUACUGACCAUACCAUUAAAUAUUGAAAGACAACUUAAAAUACCAGCUUAUAUAUUUCACUUCAAAUGUUAUUUCAUUUAGUGACAAUUUUAUUGGUGUCAGUUUACAUUGUGAAAUUUGGGUUUAAGUACUUUCACUCAAAGCUAGAUUUUAUUGGCGCUGCUUUCAAUUUAUGAUAUUUUAAAGUGACUAAUAUGAAAUAAACAUUGGAAUCUGAAAAUCA
rnacentral:misc_RNA from 1 species